GACGAACGCUGGCGGCGUGCUUAACACAUGCAAGUCGAACGGAAAGGCCCUGCUUGCAGGGUACUCGAGUGGCGAACGGGUGAGUAACACGUGGGUGAUCUGCCCUGCACUUCGGGUUAAGCCUGGGAAACUGGGUCUAAUACCGGAUAGGAGCCAUUUUUAGUGUGAUGGUUGGAAAGUUUUUUCGGUGUAGGAUGAGCUCGCGGGCUAUCAGCUUGUUGGUGGGGUAAUGGCCUACCAAGGCGGCGGCGGGUAGCCGGCCUGAGAGGGUGGACGGCCACACUGGGACUGAGAUGCGGCCCAGACUCCUACGGGAGGCAGCAGUGGGGAAUAUUGCACGAUGGGCGCAAGCCUGAUGCAGCGACGCCGCGUGGGGGAUGACGGCCUUCGGGUUGUAAACUCCUUUCGCUAGGGACGAAGCUUUUUGUGACGGUACCUAGAUAAGAAGCACCGGCUAACUACGUG
rnacentral:rRNA from 1 species